AUGAUGAUGAAGAAAAAAGAUGAUGACUCUCGAAAGGAGAAACCCUUAAAGGCCAAAAAAGCUACCCAGGUCAUUGAGGACAAUGAAGAUAAUGAUGGUUACAGUGAUGAUGAUGAUGAUGCCAACAACUUUGAUUACCACAAAAAAGAUUAUGAUGAUUACAGUAGUGAUUUUAGAGAUUCUGAUUUUGAUGACAACACGGAAGAUGACGAUUAUUUUAAGUAUAAGAUUGACCAUGUGGAUUAUGAUGAUGAUGAGGAGGAGGAAGAUGAUUAUGAUGAAGAUCAACUCCAUGCUGAUUAUAAUGAUGACAAGGAAGAUAAAAGUUAUUAUGAUGAUCAUUCUGAUUCUAAUGUUGCGAAGGAGGACGAGGCCAAUAACAAAGAAAAAACAGAGCCUGGUGAAAGUGAUGAUGAUGGCAAGAGUGGCACUGAAGAUGAUGUUAGUACUGACAGAGGCAGUUAUAACCAUGUGGAUGAUGAAUGCAGUAAUGAAGAAAACAGAGAGGUUAUUGAAACUCUUAAAUAUGAUAGAAGUCAGAGUGACGAUGGUGAUGAAGAUGACACUGAUGAAGAAAAUGCUAGUUAUGAUUAUCUUAAGAACGAUGGUUGUACAACACAUGAGGAAGAAACUGAAGAGGGAUAUAAAAAUGAAACACAUGAAACAGGGAACCAUGAUGAUGCUGAUGAUGAAAGGGUCAAAGAGGAAGAUGGUUUCAUUGCUGAAGAAUACCAAGGUGAUGGUGAUAUUAAAGAUGGUCAUGUGAACGGCAAAGAAUAUGAAGUAUAUGAGUAUGACCAAGUAGCUGAAAAAAACUAUGAGCAUAAUGAUGAUGAGCUUAAUAAUUGUGACUCUGAUGAUGAAAGAAAACAUUCUGACGCCUCCAUCAUGGAAAAAUAUGAAAAAGAUCAGGUUUGUGCUCGCUGUAUUCAUAAUGAUGACCAAGCAAACAAUCACGAGGCCGAAGAUGAAGAUGGGGAGGACAAAAAAGUAAUGUGCAGCCAGGCUGCUAGGAUCAAUAAUUUAAAUCAUGAUGAAAAUAGUGUUUGUGUUGACGGUGAUUAUAAUUCUAUGAAGAAUUAUUACACUGGGGAGUUCAUGGAUCGCGUCAAAAAUACGGCAGGGAGCUGCAAAGAUGAACAAGGGGGGGAUGCUGAAGAUGUCACCAGAACUAAAGUGAUGUUGGAGCGACUUGGCGCUAAAUGUAAAACCAAAGACGGAGGUCGUGCCCAGGAUGGAAACCUUCGACAAGACAGCCAACACGGGCAGCAUGAGAAAGGUACUGAGAAGUCUACUGUACGGUGUUCACUUUAUACAGUGGUAUACCCUGGGGCAGUUUGGGUUUUUUGUGGUUGGGGUGAGACUUGUAAACAAGUCCCCUUCCCCUUGUGCUUUUGA
rnacentral:lncRNA from 1 species